CAGUUUUCCUGCUUUAUUCUGCCUUAGAACUAUUAGUCUUUUCUCCCUUAAGUUGCCACUUUUGUUAGGGAAUUCUAUCAUAGCAACAGAAACGUGGUAAUACAUUGUCCUGUAGCUGCUUGUAUUCUGAAGCUAAUUUGGGUCCCCCCCCCCAAAUUGUUUGCACAUGAGGGUCUGCGAGUAGCUUCUGGGAACAUGCCCCCAGUUAAUUCUGAGUGGUGAAUAAAGAUGCCAGCAGCUAAUAGCUGGGGAGAAGAGAGAGAGAGAGGUAGAAUUUAGGGUUCCCGGGCUUGGGAGUGAAGGGGAGAAGAGGGAAGGAGAGACCCCUUAGGAGUGUGCGGGACAGAUAGAAGAGCUGCCAAUGGGGUAGAGAAGGAAGGAGAGUGUCCCAGACUCUGGGCCAAGAAAAUGUGACUCGGAGGGCUGAUUAAUUGGAGUGUAGAGCAGCCUGGAUGGAACAUAGAAAUUGGUCAGGAUGUAAAGCUCUCAUCUACUGCUCCAGAGCCACGCCUGUCUGCUUCCUGCCAUAAUCAUCAGGGUCUAACUCUCUAAAACUGUAAGCCCGCCCCCAAUUAAAUGCUUUGUUGAUAAAAGA
rnacentral:lncRNA from 1 species